rfam:Streptomyces sp. CB02488 scaffold14, whole genome shotgun sequence.
CUUGACGGAGGCGAGCCACAGCGGCUGGUCGUCGGCACGGCCCUGGCCGUAUGUGGCGAGCAGCGCCUGCGCCUC